rnacentral:rRNA from 1 species
AUUGAACGCUGGCGGCAGGCCUAACACAUGCAAGUCGAACGAGUGGCGGACGGGUGAGUAAUGUCUGGGAAACUGCCUGAUGGAGGGGGUUAACUACCGGAAACGGUAGCUAAUACCGCAUACCAUCAGAUGUGUCCAGAUGGGUUUGGCUAGUUGGGGGGGUAACGGCCCACCAAGGCGACGAUCCCUAGCUGGUCUGAGAGGCUGACCAGCCACACUGGAACUGAGACACGGUCCAGACUCCUACGGGAGGCAGCAGUGGGGAAUAUUGGACAAUGGGCGCAAGCCUGAUUCAGCCAUGCCGGGUGGAUGAAGAAGGCCUUCGGGUUGUAAAGUACUUUCAGCGGGGAGGCGUUACCCGCAGAAGAAGCACCGGCUAACUCCGUGCCAGCCGCCGCGGUAAUAC